rnacentral:rRNA from 1 species
AUUGAACGCUGGCGGCAGGCCUAACACAUGCAAGUCGAGCGGAUGAGAGGAGCUUGCUUCUCGAUUCAGCGGCGGACGGGUGAGUAAUGCCUAGGAAUCUGCCUGAUAGUGGGGGACAACGUUUCGAAAGGAACGCUAAUACCGCAUACGUCCUACGGGAGAAAGCAGGGGACCUUCGGGCCUUGCGCUAUCAGAUGAGCCUAGGUCGGAUUAGCUAGUUGGUGAGGUAAUGGCUCACCAAGGCGACGAUCCGUAACUGGUCCGAGAGGAUGAUCAGUCACACUGGAACUGAGACACGGUCCAGACUCCUACGGGAGGCAGCAGUGGGGAAUAUUGGACAAUGGGCGAAAGCCUGAUCCAGCCAUGCCGCGUGUGUGAAGAAGGUCUUCGGAUUGUAAAGCACUUUAAGUUGGGAGGAAGGGUUGUAGAUUAAUACUCUGCAAUUUUGACGUUACCGACAGAAUAAGCACCGGCUAACUCUGUGCCAGCCGCCGCGGUAAGAC